rnacentral:rRNA from 1 species
GACGAACGCUGGCGGCGUGCUUAACACAUGCAAGUCGAACGGUGAACUCAGCUUGUGGGGGGACCAGUGGUGAACGGGUGAGUAACACGUGGGCAACCUGACCCCAGCUAUGGGAUAACUAUAAGAUAUUGGGGCCAAUACCGGAACCGAAUAAUGUCCUGAUGGGCAGGUGGUGGAAAGAUCUAUCGGCUGUGGUUGGGCCCUCAGAUUAAUCGUCUGUUGGUGGGGUAGUGGCUUACCAAGGGGAUGACGGGUAGCCGGCCUGAGAGGGGGACCGGGCACACGGGGACUAAGGGACGGCCCAGACGCCUACGGGAGGCAGCGGUGGGGAGUAUUGCGCAAUGGGCGAAAGCCUGACACAGCGGCGCCGCGUGGGGAAUGACGGCCUUCGGGUUGUAAACCUCUUUCUACGGGGACGAAGCGAAAGUGACGGUACCUGCAGAAAAAGCACCGGCCAACUACGUG